AUUGAACGCUGGCGGCAGGCUUAACACAUGCAAGUCGAGCGGGGGAAGGUAGCUUGCUACCGGACCUAGCGGCGGACGGGUGAGUAAUGCUUAGGAAUCUGCCUAUUAGUGGGGGACAACAUCUCGAAAGGGAUGCUAAUACCGCAUACGUCCUACGGGAGAAAGCAGGGGAUCUUCGGACCUUGCGCUAAUAGAUGAGCCUAAGUCGGAUUAGCUAGUUGGUGGGGUAAAGGCCUACCAAGGCGACGAUCUGUAGCGGGUCUGAGAGGAUGAUCCGCCACACUGGGACUGAGACACGGCCCAGACUCCUACGGGAGGCAGCAGUGGGGAAUAUUGGACAAUGGGGGGAACCCUGAUCCAGCCAUGCCGCGGGUGUGAAGAAGGCCUUAUGGUUGUAAAGCACUUUAAGCGAGGAGGAGGCUACUUUAGUUAAUACCUAGAGAUAGUGGACGUUACUCGCAGAAUAAGCACCGGCUAACUCUGUG
rnacentral:rRNA from 1 species